rnacentral:tRNA from 1 species
GCGGACGUGGCGGAAUUGGCAUACGCGCUGGGUUUAGGUUCCAGUGCCGCAAGGCUUGCGGGUUCGAGUCCCGCCGUCCGCA